UGAUAUUAGGGCAUAUUCCAAGGGGGAAAGGUUAUAGCGAUUAUGAGAAAUUAAGCCAUAAGCGUAUAGCUUUUUCCCUUUGGCAUUUGUCAUUGUCAUC
rnacentral:pre_miRNA from 17 species